UGAUUGGUCGGUUUAGUUCGUUUGUUUGGUCGCACUGUUAUGACAGCAUUUGAAGACACCAUCAAGAAUGAGAAAAUACCAACAAGCGACAAAGGAAUGGCACCCAGUUUGGUACCGUGGUCACGCUGUUCGUAGCCGGGUAUCUGACUGCAGGUCCAUGGGGUUGGCCCAGUAUCUUUUACAGCACUGGACUGUGUGGUGUGUUGUGGGCAGUGGCCUGGCUAUUUUUAGGUGCCAAUUCCCCGGACACCCAUCCUUCCAUCAGUGACAGCGAGCGGGAAUACAUCAAGGCAGCCUUUGUUAGCAGCUCAGAUCAAAGCAGUGUAAGUAAUUCAAAUAUAUUUUUUCUGUCUACUUAAAGCUCAAUAUGUACAUAAAGUAUCGCCAAAUUAUUCUCUACACUAUUACCCUGUUGUCAGUUUGGGAAAUCCAAAACUGAAGAACAUGUGCAUCAGUGACAAAUUUGGUCGCCCAGAUUUGUUUUUGCUAUACCCAGUAUAGAUUCUACUGGCAGGCAAGCUAGGAGUGUACCCUACUGGGGUAUCACGUUGGGUUUAGUAAAAGACAAAGCUACAUGCAGACCAAAAGUCCAAGAGGUUACAUAGCCCAAGGUCCUUCUCAUGAAAGGCUGAAUGGAACACCACACAUGUUAUGUCAAGGCAACAAAAGGGCUCAAGACAAUAUUUAUUUUGCAAGGAGAAUGGAGUAACAAAAGGAACCAUCUACAAGUACUGGACAGUGACUCCACCGUCCCAAACUAGUGAUUGCUUUGAGGCUAACAACACCCAGCUCAAUUUCUAGAAUUUGCUUUUCUAGAAAUGAUGCUGUACCAUUCACAUUGCUAUUAUUAACUGUAACAUGUAUGGGGGCUAUUUGGAAAGUAUCCUAUGUUCGAUGAUUACUCCUUAUCUACAACCGCUAUUGUUGUCAGAUUCAGCAUUUACUAUCUUUAUAUACUUCUACUUGCUCUGAGAAUAGCUUCCAUUCAUACCUUUAAUAAAUUGGUUGUUAGUCAGUGUUCAGUCUGCAGUUUCUCUAGCCUUCAUCAGAUUUAAAAAAACAAGAUGGAACUUGAAGAUUAGCAUCGUUUUGGUUCAAACCCAGGAGGAUGUGUGCAUAGACCAGUCAAAUGAUCUAGCAAGCCUUUCAGGGGAAAGGCAUGACUCCAACUUCCAUAAAUUACUGGAUCAUCCAUUUAAAAAAUGCCCAUGUUUUGGUUGAAAGUGAUCUACCAGCUACGUUCUGGUCAACCUUCCUUAACGCUAACCCACAAAAUAAUCAAACGUGUGAGGUUUGUGAUAAAACCGGACAAUCGCUUAGCAGUGCAUGAUAUGGAGGAAGAUUGGGAUGUAUGAGAUCCUGAAUUCUGUCUGAGGAAUUACGUUUGAAAUGAGUGAAUGUAAAUUUCAUCCCAAAAUUGCUCAUAAAAAAAAGGAAAUUGCACAAGACAUGUAUGAAACCAUAACAAAUGACUCUGACAUCUAACUGUUCCUGAAAUUGAAGGCAGAACUUGUAAAAUCCCGAGGGUAGAUUUUACAACUUAUUUUUCAAAGUGAAAGGUUCGUUUGAAGAAGUGCAUUAUGUCUAAUGGAAAUUACUUUGAGGAAGACUAAAGUUUGGUUGUGAUUGGUAAGCUAGUUUUCUGAAAUAUCAGACUUGUCAACUUGUGUCCCCCAUUUUCCCACACGGUAACUUGCUAAUAUUGUGUUUUUCAUUUAUCAUGAUAAGCUUAUAGAUUUUUUCCUUUAUAAACACUACGUACACCACAUUCUCAUCUAAUUUAAUGGCAUAACUCAUCCUAACCCAAGCUGGCUUAGCUAUUGUUAUCAAUAAAAUUUAGGUUAGGUAGUGUCUAUAAAAUUCAAAAGUGGUAGUCUAUACAUAUAACAGAAAAUAUCCAUGCUUUUUACAAGCACUAGACUUACUAAUUUUGUACAUGUGUGCCACAGGAAAUAACAACAAAGGCUGCUUGGCGUUUCUUACAAAACUUUUGCAAUUUAUUUGCACAGUAUAGCUAAUGAUCUCUAAUAUAGAACAAUUUAUUGAACAAAUUUAAAUCAAAGCUUUUUUCCUGGCUUUCAGCUUUGCAAACUUGUUUAUAAUGUCAGAAAAGUCUGUACCGAAAGUUAAGUUGUUUUCACAACACAACAAUAUUAGAGAAUUUAGUUUCUCUUGUAAAAUAGUUUUUCUCUUCACAUUCUUGACACAGGGUUAACAGAAAACCCUCUUUCUGCAGUCCAGUUAGUGAUGGGUAAAAAUCCUGAAGGACACUUCAAGAUUGGAAAAUCUAGUUUACAGAUAAUUUUUUGAAAUACAAUCAUAUAACAUCAUCAAUAUGAUAAAAAAAAGCUGUUUGAACGUUUAAUAUAUGUAUAUCAGUCCCUUGGACGCAACCCUCAUAUUAUAAAUAACUUAUACUAAAUAGUAAAUUAGUUUAAUUAAAUUAACCGAUUUUAGUUUUUUCUAUCUGAAACUGUUUUAAAUUUAGCAUGCGACGCUAGAUUCUUUGAUAACCUUAUAUUAUAAUGUAAACAAAAAUUCUGUAUAAGUUCAUAAUAAUAAAUAAAUAUAAUAAUAAUUAUGUAUUCAAAUGAUUGAAAGGCCAAAAAUUUUUAAAACUUCUGUAAAAAAUAUUUAGAAUCUGUUUAUUUUGUAGAAGUUGUAAAUAUUGUUGAUUUUUUGUGAGUGGGUAAUGUAAUGAUGUGGACAUCACUCAAUCUUUUUGUCAUUAAAUCAAAGACAAAAAUUGUUAUCUUUCACAAAUAAAUUAAUCACUUCAAAUUUCCAAGGACUCAACCUUUAAAAAAACCCAUCGUGACAAUAUUAAUUAAUGAUUGAAGUCGACUGUUUUAAGAGUUGUUUAUUUUCUUGAAGAUGUGUUUUACAAUUUACACAGUUUUACCAUACAUGAACUCAUUUGUUUAAAAAAACAUUUGUAAAUUUGUCACUUUUUCAAACACUGAUCACUAAAUACUGUUCAUUUAAUACGUAAUUUAAGUAAACUAGUAAUCAUUAUUAAUGGAUAGGAGAAUCAUCAGGCUUACCUUGAAAACUUUCUUCUCGGGUUCACUGAUUUGAAAGGAACAUAUGGAUCUAACUAUUGAUACUAUAUUUGAGUAGUAUGUUAUAGUACUAUACCUUGUACGAAUAAUAUUAUAAACAAUACUUUACCUAAUACAGAUAUAUAGUACUAAAUUGUAGCAUCAACAGUGUCCAGAAAAAGUAAAUUGGCUACCCUACUACCUACCUUGAUUCUGAAACUUAAACUGAACUGGUUGAGAUAGAUUGCUGUGCAAUGAAACAUUUCUAAAUAUGUCUUUAUGUGUUUCUUCCAAAUCAGUGGCCCCAGAAGGAUAUUUUUAAGGUAAGUCUGAUGAUUCUCUUAUCCAUUACUAAUAUUCAUUGGUUUUCAACCCUAAUAAUUCAGUCCUAGACUAAUAAUAAUUAAGUGAAGUUUCGACUUUAUAAGCAUAUUAUGUUCACCCAUUAUCUGAUCAGACCAUAUUCCAUUGAUGAAAAAAUAUAUUUCUUACCAACCUAAGUUUCAUAUAUAAAAAAAAAAUGUAAAAAAU